UUCAAGAUGAAAGUAUUAAUGAACCUUUAGGAGAUAUUGUUAUAGCUCUUCCUUUUGUUUUGGAGAAGAUCAAAAGUAAAAGAAUCCCUACCGAUCACUAUUUAGCCUCACUGCUUUGCCACGGGAUCUGCCACUUGCUUGGAUUUACUCACGAAAGUGACGCUGAUUUUAAAAAGAUGCAAGCAAUGGAAACAAAAUUGCUAAAACUUUCUUGUUUGAAGGUGGGCAUUCCAGUG